ACGGAAGGCAGCAGUGGGGAAUAUUGCACAAUGGGGGAAACCCUGAUGCAGCGAUGCCGCGUGGAGGAAGAAGGUUUUCGGAUUGUAAACUCCUGUCUUAAGGGACGAUAAUGACGGUACCUUAGGAGGAAGCUCCGGCUAACUACGUGCCAGCAGCCGCGGUAAUACGUAGGGAGCGAGCGUUGUCCGGAAUUACUGGGUGUAAAGGGAGCGUAGGCGGGAUGGCAAGUCAGAUGUGAAAUAUGCCGGCUCAACUGGCAGACUGCAUUUGAAACUGCGGUUCUUGAGUGAAGUAGAGGUAAGCGGAAUUCCUAGUGUAGCGGUGAAAUGCGUAGAUAUUAGGAGGAACAUCAGUGGCGAAGGCGGCUUACUGGGCUUUAACUGACGCUGAGGCUCGAAAGCGUGGGGAGCAAACAGGAUUAGAUACCCUGGUA
rnacentral:rRNA from 1 species